rnacentral:piRNA from 1 species
UGGGCCCGGUUUCGCCGACGAAGUACUGA